CCGGGAUUCGAACCCAUGCUACUGUGAUAUCGUGACACCAAAUCGCCUGCACUGCAGCCGUCCCGCUAGACCACACGACCACCUGGGCUCUACAAUAAUAGAGCUUUCGCUGGCUGUGUGUUACCUUUCCUCGUCAGUUUUAAUCUAGCGGCGUACUACAGUACAUGAUAUAUAAGGCAUGAAGAUGUUAUUGUUACAGAUCAGCUAAAUUAUCUAUAGUAAAGGAUCCUACAAAUUAAUGUAAUAUACAGUCACAGAAAAUAAUUAUAUUUAUAAGUACGUCUGAGUCAGUGACAACUUUACAACAGAUGUAUCCAUCGGAUCGCCAUCAAUGAUGGUGAUACAUGGCUGUGUACAUAAUGUAUAUACAAUUCGUCUAAACAUCAACCCAACA
rnacentral:lncRNA from 1 species